rnacentral:rRNA from 1 species
UAUAGUAAUACUACUACCUUAUCAUUAAAUUUAAUUUCUGAACUUGAGUAAAAAAAUUAAUUGUAAAUGUAAAAUUUUGAUAAACUUAAACUGCAAAUUUAAAAUAUACAAACAAAAUUUAUUAAAAAUUAGUACUAGAUUAAAAAAAUAAUUCUAAAGUAUCUAAAAAAAGAACUUUUUAUCUUUAUUAAUUAAAAAAUAAUAAGAAAAUUUUAAUUGACUAAUAAGGUGCCAGCAUUCGCGGUUACACUUUAAAAUUUUAAUAGAAAAAAAAUACAAAAAAAUAAAAAAGUAAGUAAAAUUAUAAAAAAUUUUAUACUUUCAAAAUUCUGUAAUAAAAACAAGGAUUAGAUACCCUUCUAUUUGCACAAAAAUUUUUGAAUAAAAUCAAAAAAUUUUUGACAGUAAAAAAAAUUUUGAGGAAUUUGUUUAAAGAUACUACUCUAUAAUAAAUUUAUUCUUUAUUAAGUAUAUUGCUGUCUGAAUUAAAUUAAAAAAUUAUAAUAAAAAAAAAUAAAAUUUUAAUCAAGUCAUAAUGCUAAAGAUAAUCUAAAAAUUAGUUAUAAAAAUUCUAAUUAAAAAUUAAAAUUUUAUGAAUUAAAAUCAAAAAAUAAUUUGUAAUAUAAAAUACAAAUGAAAAAUAAUUUUUUUAUGUACAAAUCGCCCGUCACUUUCAAAGAAAUGAAUUAAGUCGUAACAAAGUUUUUUUAUCGGAAGAUAUUUAAUCUGGCAG